GUUGUCCUGCUCUCCUCGGGCCCUCUCUGGAGCUGGGGGCGUCAGGCAGUACUUGGUCUGGGGAAGGCCAGGACUAGCAGUUCCGAGCCCCUCUCCCGUGACUUCCUCCCUUGCCUCCUUGGCUGCCCAAAGCAGCACUAAAUCAGGUCACCACUUGUCUUGCCUCGCAGUAGCUGUCGUGCAGACAGCUCCUGCCCAGCUCCCAAUCCAGGUCACUGGCUCCCACACCCCUCCCUUCCCCAGCAGCCAAGGAGACGGCGCUCAGUGCUUUUGUUCUUAAGUGCUGCUCAUUAGACUCUGGCUGUGUGCCUGACACUGGGCCCAUCGCUUUAAGAAGAAAUAACAGGCCCCCUUUGCAGCACGCUCUAUCACGAGAUUCUCUCUUCCGUAGGGAGAUAGGAGCACUUCUAUUUUAUAAGUGAAGAAACUGAGGCUGAGAAAGCCUUCCAGCAAACCCACUGCUGCUCCCGCUGUUGCUUCUGGAAGACUGUCCUUAAAGAAAGGAAAGAACCAGAAGGAACUUCAAAGGCCUUCGCAUCCACCUGUUACCACUUCCAUGGGCUGAGCUAGACCCCUCUGGCCACGGCUAUGGAAGAGUCAAGGACAGCUGGAAUCCACCCAACUUUUACCAAUAAUUCACCACCGUGAGACCUUGA